UACAGGGGCCUCGAGCGUUAGGCGGAAUCACUGGGCUUAAAGCGUGUGUAGGCGGACUUCUAAGUACCUUGUGAAAUCCCACGGCUCACCCGUGGAACUGCUCGGUAUACUGGUCGUCUUGAGCCUUCUAGGGGCGAGUGGAACAAAUGGUGGAGCGGUGAAAUGCGUAGAUAUCAUUUGGAACGCCAAUGGUGAAAACAACUCGCUGGGGAAGUGCUGACGCUGAGACACGAAAGCCAGGGGAGCAAACGGG
rnacentral:rRNA from 1 species